GACGAACGCUGGCGGCGUGCUUACACAUGCAAGUCGAACGGAAAGGCCCUGCUUUUGUGGGGUGCUCGAGUGGCGAACGGGUGAGUAACACGUGAGUAACCUGCCCUUGACUUUGGGAUAACUUCAGGAAACUGGGGCUAAUACCGGAUAGGAGCUCCUGCUGCAUGGUGGGGGUUGGAAAGUUUCGGCGGUUGGGGAUGGACUCGCGGCUUAUCAGCUUGUUGGUGGGGUAGUGGCUUACCAAGGCUUUGACGGGUAGCCGGCCUGAGAGGGUGACCGGCCACAUUGGGACUGAGAUACGGCCCAGACUCCUACGGGAGGCAGCAGUGGGGAAUAUUGCACAAUGGGCGGAAGCCUGAUGCAGCAACGCCGCGUGCGGGAUGACGGCCUUCGGGUUGUAAACCGCUUUCGCCUGUGACGAAGCGUGAGUGACGGUAAUGGGUAAAGAAGCACCGGCUAACUACGUA
rnacentral:rRNA from 1 species